rnacentral:lncRNA from 1 species
AUCCAUUGCAGCGUUCCUCACAUGGGGCACCACCUGCCUGGUCUGUCCCACAGACCCUGGCCGAUGGAUGAAGCGAGUACUCAGAGACAGGGAACGUCAUGCAGAUAAUCAAAGGUCAGUUCCUGGUCAACAUAAGUAAACAAGCUUAUUUAAGGCCUUACACUGUCUUUGGCUUGGAGAUGGGGUUUCACCAAGGACCUGCCCCUAUCUGCCUAGGCAUUUGGCUGCCUCCUGCCUCUCUCACUACAAGCUGGAAACCCCAAGAAAAUGGAUUAUCCCCUAUAAUGUCCAGAAAGAAACACAGUCCAGCAGACACCUGAGCUUUAGGCCAAUGAGCUCUGUGCAACACUUCUUCUGCCUUUCAGAAUUGUCUCUCUAUUCCCUGAGAAAAACCAAUCCUGAAAUUAGGCCGGUUAAUAACCCAACAACAGCCUGCCUGUGUUCAAGUGAAAGAAGAGUUGGAUGUCUCUCACUUUUAAUCAGAAGCUAGAAAAGAUUAAGCUUAGUGAGGAAAGCAUGUUGAAAGCCAAAAUAGGCUUAAAUCUAGACCUCUUAUGCCAAACACUUACCCAAGUUGUAAAACCAAACAAAAACUGUUUGAAGGACAUUAAAAGUGAUACUCCAGUGAACACACGAAUGAUAAGAAAGCAAAACAGUCUCCUUGGUGAUAUGGGGAAAGUUUUAGUGGUCUGGAUAGAAGAACAAACCAGCUACAACAUUCCCUUAAACUGAAGCCUAACACAGGGCAAAGUUCUGACUCUCUUUAAUUCUAUGAAGGCUGAGAGAAAUGAGGAAGUUACAAAAGAAAAGUUGGAAGCUAGCAG